CACGUAGGGGGCGAGCGUUGUCCGGAAUCAUUGGGCGUAAAGAGCUCGUAGGCGGCUCAGUAAGUCGGGUGUGAAACCCUCAGGCUCAACCUGGGGACGCCACCCGAUACUGCUGUGGCUAGAGUCCAGUAGGGGAGUGUGGAAUUCCCGGUGUAGCGGUGAAAUGCGCAGAUAUCGGGAGGAGCACCAAUGGCGAAGGCAGCUCGCUGGGACGGUACUGACGCUGAGACGCGAAAGCGUGGGGAGCAAACAGG
rnacentral:rRNA from 1 species